UUGUUCAAAACCCUAAACCAUAAGAAACUCAAGAAAACAAGAGCAAUCAAGCCAAAAGAAUUGGGGCUUUAACUAAAAUCGUGAUCACCUAAGUUAGUAGAUCACAAGGCAAAGGAAUUGAAUCUUCAAGCGGACGAGUCGGAGUUGAUGCGCGCUUGAAGGAAAAGCACUAAAGGUGAUAUAUGUCUCACUCCGGAUGGCAAUCAAGCGUGAAUCUAAGAACCGAACACAACUUUUGAAGCUUCCGCACUAUUCGAAAUUGUUUUAGACAAUGUUCAUUUUGUAAACACUUACUUAUCGUCUGAACGUUUUAAAUUAGUAGGGAUGUUAAUUUUAAAUACCUUAAUCAUGUAUGGAUAUUAAACAUAACAAGCUUUUGUUAACCCGUAUUU